GACGAACGCUGGCGGCGUGCCUAAUACAUGCAAGUCGAACGCUGAAGGAGGAGCUUGCUUCUCUGGAUGAGUUGCGAACGGGUGAGUAACGCGUAGGUAACCUGCCUGGUAGCGGGGGAUAACUAUUGGAAACGAUAGCUAAUACCGCAUAAUAGUAGAUGUUGCAUGACAUCUACUUAAAAGGUGCAAUUGCAUCACUACCAGAUGGACCUGCGUUGUAUUAGCUAGUUGGUGGGGUAACGGCUCACCAAGGCGACGAUACAUAGCCGACCUGAGAGGGUGAUCGGCCACACUGGGACUGGGACACGGCCCAGACUCCUACGGGAGGCAGCAGUAGGGAAUCUUCGGCAAUGGACGAAAGUCUGACCGAGCAACGCCGCGUGAGUGAAGAAGGGUUUCGGAUCGUAAAGAUCGGUUGUAAGAGAAGAACGAGUGUGAGAGUGGAAAGUUCACACUGUGACGGUAUCUUACCAGAAAGGGACGGCUAACUACGUG
rnacentral:rRNA from 1 species